UACAGAGGGUGCGAGCGUUAAUCGGAGUUACUGGGCGUAAAGGGCGCGUAGGUUGUUGAAUAAGUUAGUUGUGAAAGCCCUGGGCUUAACCUGGGAAUUGCACCUAAGACUGUUUAACUAGAGUACUGUAGAGGGUAGUGGAAUUUCCGGUGUAGCGGUGAAAUGCGUAGAGAUCGGAAGGAACACCAGUGGCGAAGGCGGCUACCUGGACAGAUACUGACACUGAGGCGCGAGAGCGUGGGGAGCAAACAGG
rnacentral:rRNA from 1 species